AGAGUUUGAUCCUGGCUCAGGAUGAACGCUAGCGGCAGGCUUAACACAUGCAAGUCGAGGGGUAACAGGUCUUUCGGGAUGCUGACGACCGGCGCACGGGUGAGUAACGCGUAUGCAACCUACCCAUAACUUGGAGAUAGCCCGGAGAAAUUCGGAUUAAUACCCAAUAAUAUUUCUGAGAGGCAUCUCUCGGAUCUUAAAACUCAGGUGGUUAUGGAUGGGCAUGCGUGCCAUUAGAUUGUUGGUGAGGUAACGGCUCACCAAGUUGUCAAUGAUGGCUAGGGGGUCUAAAAGGAUAAUCCCCCACACUGGUACUGAGACACGGACCAGACUCCUACGGGAGGCAGCAGUGAGGAAUAUUGGUCAAUGGGCGAAAGCCUGAACCAGCCAUGCCGCGUGAAGGAUGAAUGCCCUAUGGGUUGUAAACUUCUUUUGUACGGGAAGAAACCGCUUUACGUGUAAAGCGCUGACGGUACCGUAAGAAUAAGCAUCGGCUAACUCCGUGCCAGCAGCCGCGGUAAUACGGAGGAUGCAAGCGUUAUCCGGAUUUAUUAGGUUUAAAGGGUGCGCAGGCGGAAAUGUAAGUCAGUGGUGAAAUCCUACAGCUUAACUGUAGGACUGCCAUUGAUACUGCUUUUCUUGAGUAUANUUGAANUAGGCGGAAUGUGUAAUGUANCGGUGAAAAUGCUUANAUAUUACACCGGAACACCGAUUGCGAAGGCAGCUUNACUAAACUGUUACUGACGCUGAUGCANGAAA
rnacentral:rRNA from 1 species